CCUACGGGUGGCAGCAGUGAGGAAUAUUGGUCAAUGGACGAGAGUCUGAACCAGCCAAGUAGCGUGAAGGAUGACUGCCCUAUGGGUUGUAAACUUCUUUUAUAUGGGAAUAAAAUGUUCCACGUGUGGGAUUUUGUAUGUACCAUAUGAAUAAGGAUCGGCUAACUCCGUGCCAGCAGCCGCGGUAAUACGGAGGAUCCGAGCGUUAUCCGGAUUUAUUGGGUUUAAAGGGGGCGUAGGUGGGUUGUUAAGUCAGAUGUGAAAGUUUGCGGCUCAACCUUAAAAUUGCAGUUGAAACUGGCAGUCUAGAGUACAGUAGAGGUGGGCGGAAUUCGUGGUGUAGCGGUGAAAUGCUUAGAGAUCACGAAGAACACCGAUGGCGAAGGCAGUUCACUGGACUGCAACUGACACUGAGGCUCGAAAGUGUGGGUAUCAAACAGGAUUAGAUACCCCUGUAGUC
rnacentral:rRNA from 1 species